CAAGGAAUAUUGGUCAAUGGGCGCAAGCCUGAACCAGCCAUGCCGCGUGCAGGAAGACGGCCCUAUGGGUUGUAAACUGCUUUUAUCAGGGAAUAAACCCCCGCUCGUGAGCGGGGAUGAAGGUACCUGAAGAAUAAGCAUCGGCUAACUCCGUGCCAGCAGCCGCGGUAAUACGGAGGAUGCAAGCGUUAUCCGGCUUCAUUGGGUUUAAAGGGUGCGCAGGCGGAUUGGUAAGUCAGGGGUGAAAUCCCACAGCUCAACUGUGGAACUGCCUUUGAUACUGUCAGUCUAGAGUAUAGUUGAAGUGGGCGGAAUGUGUCAUGUAGCAGUGAAAUGCUUAGAUAUGACACAGAACACCGAUCGCGAAGGCAGCUCGCUAAGCUAUAACUGACGCUCAUGCACGAAAGCGUGGGGAUCAAACAG
rnacentral:rRNA from 1 species